GGUUGUGAGGGCUAUCAGGCUGCGUUAUCUGUCACACCAUUGUUCGCCAGUGUUGAUUCAGCUGAUCUGACUGGCUAGGCGGGUGUCCCCUUCCUCCCUCACCACUCCGUGUGCGUCCCUCCUGAAGCUGUGCGCUUGGUAGAAGAGAGCAGCCUUCCCCAAGGAGAGACAGACUGAACCAGUCUUUGGUUGAGGGUAUACGAGUAGCUGCGCUCCCCUGCUAGAACCUCCAAACAAACUUUCAUUUUUUGUAUAAUUAAAGAAAUAUAUUCUUUCAGGGUGGAGAGAGUACAGUGAUUAGGGUCCUUGACUAGCAUGUAGUCAACCCUGUUUC
rnacentral:snRNA from 1 species